AAAAACCCUAAUAUUGGUAAAAACCUACAUGUCCAUCCGGUUGUAUUCGCGUGGGGACACUUUCCAGAUACAAACAGUACUGACAACGUAAAGAAUUCUGAAGUAUGGCCUGAGUCAGACAAAAAGAGCUAUGAAGGAGGAAUAAUGUCAGUAAUGUCUAAAGUUGUCGCGAAUACCGAGGAACCGGGCUAUGGUGUGGUUAUACAAACACCAGCAUUGCACCCUGGCAUGUUCUCAGUAGUAAUGCCAUGGAUUUCAGGCCUUGAUAUUAAGAUGAGAAUGUGCAAAUAUUCAAGAACUGCACAUAUAUUUGCUUUGGCUAGAGAUAAGGGCUCAGGAGAAACAGUU
rnacentral:misc_RNA from 1 species